GACUUGGUGGUGUAAUGGUUAACACAUCAGCUACGCUGGUCGCGCUCAUUCCUUCUGGUUGUAAGGCUGAAGAGUUUCAGGUUCGAUUCCUGGCCGAUCA